rnacentral:tRNA from 1 species
GGAAUGUGGCUCACGUGGUAGGGUGCUUGCCUGGCAUGCGAGGGGCGCUGGGUUCAAUCCUCAACACCA